CAAGAAGCCGAAAGGCUACUUAAAACCAUCGCGAACUUAUCCAAGUUGCUUCGGCGGGCGCGGCUCCCCUCACGGGGGGACCGCAGCCCCCCGCCUCUCAGGAGGUAAGGGGCAGGCCGCCGGAGGUACGAAACUCUGUAUUAUAGUGGUAUCUCUGAGUAUAAAACAAAUAAGUUA
rnacentral:misc_RNA from 1 species